GACAGAGGGGGCAAGCGUUGCUCGGAAUCACUGGGCGUAAAGGGCGCGUAGGCGGGAUGGCAAGUCGGUCGUGAAAUCUCUCGGCUCAACCGAGAAACGUCGGCCGAUACUGCCGUUCUUGAGGGAUGCAGAGGAGACUGGAAUUCCCGGUGUAGCGGUGAAAUGCGUAGAUAUCGUAAGGAAGACCAGUGGCGAAGGCGGGUCUCUGGACAGUUCCUGACG
rnacentral:rRNA from 1 species